rnacentral:rRNA from 1 species
AACGAACGCUGGCGGCAUGCCUAACACAUGCAAGUCGAACGAAGGCUUCGGCCUUAGUGGCGCACGGGUGCGUAACGCGUGGGAACCUGCCCCUCGGUUCGGAAUAACAGUUAGAAAUGACUGCUAAUACCGGAUGAUGACUUCGGUCCAAAGAUUUAUCGCCGAGGGAUGGGCCCGCGUAGGAUUAGCUAGUUGGUGGGGUAAAGGCCUACCAAGGCGACGAUCCUUAGCUGGUCUGAGAGGAUGAUCAGCCACACUGGGACUGAGACACGGCCCAGACUCCUACGGGAGGCAGCAGUGGGGAAUAUCGGACAAUGGGCGAAAGCCUGAUCCAGCAAUGCCGCGUGAGUGAUGAAGGCCUUAGGGUUGUAAAGCUCUUUUACCAGGGAUGAUAAUGACAGUACCUGGAGAAUAAGCUCCGGCUAACUCCGUG